GCGGCGCUGCCGUGCCGCGGCGGCGGCUGUUGCGGCGGGGUCCCUCGGCCGGCUGGCAGCCCUGGGCAGAGCCAAGUGGGCGGCGUUAAGAAAACGUUAACAAAACGUCGGAGCCGCUGCUGGAAGGGUGAAUCACGCGUUAUGUGAGGAGAAGCGCGCUCACGACGCACGGCGCUUUUUACGCAGAGCAGGGGCAGUUGUAAGCUGGCGGCCGGCUUUGUCGCAGGUGCUGCUGAGCGUGUGAAACUCCCCUGGACCUGUGUUUCUUUGGGUUCCACGAGGAUUAGGCAUCAGAGAGAUGUGAGUCCAAGUUUACUGAAGGUGGGAAAAGAAUGUGAACAAGGUUCUUCAGGAAGGUUUCUUCUCAGCUAGAAAAGGAGAACAGGCAUUUCUUAAGGAGGACUGCAGCCCAUGGGACUUGGACUUCAAACAACAAAUGUGCAGAGCUCACAUGAACUUGAAGCUGCCCUUUUAUUUGUGACAUCCAUAAACAUUUAUGAUGCUUGGUUUUCAUCCCAAUCUGCUUCUGAAAGUAAGAUGAGGUCUCCUCAGGAUGAGGUCUCAGCAUUUUGAGUUGAAUUCCUGAGAUCACAGGAAAAGGCUUUGGCUUUGUUUCUGACAUAGUAAAAUCAACUGAGUCAGUGGAGCUAUCUGUGAAGAAAACUGGAAUUGGCUGGGCAGUUGGACUACUAUGAUGUGGCUGUUGUUGAUAUGGUAAAGCAUCUCUUCAGCAGAACCACGCGCUUCAGUGAAAUCCAGUGAAACAAAAGGAAGAUUGUUACCAAAAAUGUCUAUAGAAAGCCAUGCCAUAUGGUCUUCAGCAUUUUAGCGGUCUGCCAAUGAAGUCACGAUACAGAAGCAGCGCUAUCACAGGUAUUUCUUUGCCAAGAGAUGAUACCCUCAAAAUCAGAUACUGUCGCAUCACUGCAAAGUUCAGUCCUUAAGAAAGAUGUUUAUCCCUACAAUUUGGACAGUUCCAACAUUUACUCAUACUUAAUUUUUAAAAGGAAAUAGGACAUUAGACUUUUCCAUAGACAUCCAUAAAUAUUUUACAUUGGAUCUACAUAAAAAUCUCCUUAUAAUUGAGACCAUUUAGAUGAAAAUCUUUGAAAGAAAAGUAUUAUGAGCCAGAGUCUAAUCCGCAAAGAACUGCUGUAUCUGCAUUACGCUGAUAUGUAAUUAUGUGGGUUUACAUUACUUGUGAAAGUGAUCCACUAUAAACUGUUGAAUUAUCAUAGUGUCACAGGGAUACUUUAUAAACAAGAAAAUAAGGCCUGGUGACAAAAUCUCUUUUUGCUUAUGAUGUAAAUUUGGAGUAAAUCCACUGGCUUUAAACCUGUUUCAGAAGUAAAAUCUGAGCAGAGUUUGGCUGACAAGUUCUGCUGUCAUCUGUACAAGCUAUGUUGGACCUCACAAAGUGAACAACAACAAGAGGGAGAGAAGACCUCACCGUAGAAAUCAAGGCAACUUGCUUGGAGGAGAGAGAUUCAGUGGCAGCUUUUAAUAAGGAGUCCAAAGAUAUUUGGUGAUAGACAGAAGCAGAAACCAGCUUACAAACCAGAAGAAGAGUUUCUUGAGCAGGUCUCCUUGCUCCUUUUCAUAACUUUGUAAGGAUUUUUAAGCAUAAUCUUUUGCCUAUUUGAAAGAGGUUGUUGUGAUGUCUAUGUUACACACUCCUUUUCGUCUACUAGUAUGAAGAUGACUUUCAGUGAUGUAUGUGAGAUUUGUUUCCUUCAGUUUCAUGGUCAGGGCAUAAAUCACAUGAAAUAUGGAUUUGUCUCCUCUUCUUGUGUUUAGGUCAUUGCUUUGUGUCUAUAAGAUGCAGGCAACAAAGUCAAGAUCAGCUACAGGAAAGAGUUAAAAGGUUGAAAUAUUUAUUAUGCUUAGCUCCUUAAAUUAUAAAUCAGGCAUGUUUAUAGCUCAGUGCUUCUUUUUUGCUUGCUUUGUUUUUAAUUCUGGAGGCUUUUUCCACCCAAGUAAGUGCUUUCCUGAUUGACUUAAGAGGCAUCUUCUUUCCUGGGCAGGCUAACUGAUUUUUACUGCUGAGUUAUUCACAUAGAAAGUUAAUUAAGCCCUUGACCUGAUGUCCCAGUUGUUCCUUGGCACAGGAGGAGUUUGGGCCACUUAGUUUCCUAGGAAACAACAAGACAGCCACUUUUGCUGUUCCAGAGAAUUUAAAUUUCCUUGAUUUUGUACUGCAAAAUGUAGUGCUGUGGUAGCCAUAUUCCUUUCUGAUGCUUAUGCCUUUCACACAAGUGAGAAGAGAAAAUUUGUUUUGCCUCUUUCUGUGCUUCUCGUGAGAGACUGUAGUUUGUGCUCAGAGAAAAGACAGGCAUUUAGACUUCUAGGCUUUAUUUAACUGCCAAAGAAAUAUUGUGUGAUUUUCUUGGUUGUACUGAUAAUGUGAUUUGCUAUGCUUUUCCUUCCACUAUGCCUUUAUCCACUGAAACAGAUAUCCAGUAUUUUGCUGAGUGAGAUCUAGUGGAGUCAUUAGACAGUAGUGAGAUUUUUUGUUCAAAUCAUUUGAAAAGCUCACCUUUCAAAACCUGUGUAAUGUAAUAUUGUCUGAGGCUGAGUAAUUCUGUGAUGCAUUUCUGUGAACUGCUGAGAAGAAAUACUGAAGUAUCUCAUGUCUUAACUGAAUGCUGAAGUAACUCAGCAGUUUAUUAACAAAAGGAGAUUAGAACAAUAAUCUAUGAAAUCACAGUGAAUUUGCUGUGAACUUGCUGACUGACAACCAUAGCUGUAGCAGACAGCAACACUGAAGCCUUCAGUUUGUACUAGCUGAAUUUUAGCAUGACAAUGUAAAAAUAACAAACGGAAGUUGUUCUGGAUACCAAAUCGAUAGGGAUAACAUUCUUUUUUAAUCUGGUGAAAGUAAACUUAGAGCUAUUAAACUGGAUUCUCAUCUGGAUCUGUUCUUAAUGCCAGUCAACGGGUUAGAGAUCAUGGCUUGCCCCCAAAAAUUUGGAUUCAAAGUUUUCACAUCUUUUAAGACAGUCAUCUAGCUCAUUUCUUCUCCAAGCCUGUCUUCAAUUGGUCAUACCAUAUAACUUUAAUUACCUUAAUAUUCAUCAGCAGAAUCUUGUUGUGCAGCUGCAAAUCCCUUAAUUACAUAUGCACAUAGUCAUAGGGAAUAACUGUACUGCAUGGAGAAGCAACACAAUUGUCAGUAAAAACACAUUCUAAAACCAUUGCACUUUAAUGGCUUUGCAAUACCAGUAACAAAUCAGAAGAAACUACAUCUGUGAAUACUGCUCAUGUGGACUUCGAUCUCUUCCAACACACCCCAUUUCUUUGAUUAAAGAGAGUAAGAGAAGCCUUAAUGCCUCUUACCUUACAGGUAAGAGGUGAAAUCAUGGCUCUGAUGAAAUAAUUAGCCAAGCUAAAUUGACUUAAAUGGGCCAGGAUUUCACAUGUGAAUGUUAGAAAAGAACCAAUGCUCUUGAAGAACUGAUGCAUUUUCUUUAUAGGUAUGAGAGUAUAUAUUUCCUGUUGUGGUGCUAAACAAUUCAUUAUCUGGACAGCAUUCAGUUAAGUUUGCUUUGUGAGGGGGUACUUUCACUAUUUGUUAUGUUUAAUCCUGUUUAUAAUAGGCUCUUUGGCUUAGCAGAUUAGAAGCUGACAUGAAUAGCAAAUACUUGUAUAAAGUCUUUGAUCACUUAUAGGCAAUGUAUAUGUCAGUAAAGACCUAUGUCUCUCUAUGUAUACUAGAAAAAAGGAGUUGUUCAAUAAUCUCUUCCAAGGAAUGAUUUCAAGUGGUUCUACAUGGAUUGGUUUGUACAACUGAGUGGAGAUCUUGCCUCCAUUUCUUGAGAUUGCACCAACACCACUUGAACGGGAGGUGGUGGGAAGGGAAUUUUUAUGUUGCUAGUUUUCAUGAGAAGCAAUUUAUCUUGUGUGUAACUGUACUCAUGGACUUAGGCAAUUGGCACAUGUUUUUAUAAAUAAAUGAAUGAGAUAUAAAGAAAGUGCUGGUGUUUGAGUUUAUGGUUGGUGUUCUCAGACGCUUUCUUUCCUCUGUGAAAGUGUCUCCCUGUUCCCUCUGCUGCUGUAAACUGUGUUAGCUCUUAAAAUAACCUUAA